AACUACUUAAUAUAAAAGAAUAAUAUGUAUGUCUAGCUAAAGUAGCGCGUAGUUUGGUGUUUGGUAGUGCUGGUUUGGUUUGUGCGUUGUAGCUAAGCACUUUCUCAAGUCAUGGCAUUUCCAGUUAAAUCCCUUGAGUGUAUCUAAUCAUGAUGAUUGUCGUGACAGGGUGAGAAACUCACUGAUGAGGAGGAUGCUGAAGCUGCUUCCGAUUCUCAUGUCCAACCAGAUUUGUUUGAAGAGAACUUCAAAGAACUCAAAAAAUGGGUGGAUGUAAAAUCCUCCAGAUACGGCACACUCUUAGUUACACACGAGAGACGUAAAGGAAGGCUUGGAACUGCACUAAAGGUGUUAAACGACAUGAUCCAAGAUGAACAUCCUCCAAAAAGGAAUCUAUAUGAAAUGAAGAUUUCAUUGCUAGAGCAAAUAGGAUGGUACCAUUUGGUGUCUUACGAGAAACUAUGGAUGAACGUUCGAUUCCCAGCGAAUCUACCUCUCUUUUAGGGUUUUUAUUCAUCAUACAAGGCCCUUUGCAAUUCAAAAAGUACCGUACUUUCUUGUAUGGCAGGGUUUUGUAGUAAUUCUUAGGAAGACUGAAGCUGUCUGUGUGUCGUUUUACAUGUCAUGGGUUUACAAUAAAUGAGGUUGUAUCCAAUGUGACGUUGUUUACAUACUUCCUCGUACAGGAAAAUUGAAUAUUAUUUGAUAGGGUUAAGGAUCGGAAAGAAACUUAUGACAUGUUUGGUAGAGAAGAUUGAAUAAUAUCUCGUGCUUUAUAUUU